rnacentral:rRNA from 1 species
AGAGUUUGAUCAUGGCUCAGAUUGAACGCUGGCGGCAGGCUUUAACACAUGCAAGUCGAACGGUAACAGGAAGGAAGCUUGCUUUCUUUGCUGACGAGUGGCGGACGGGUGAGUAAUGCUUGGGAAUCUGGCUUAUGGAGGGGGAUAACUACGGGAAACUGUAGCUAAUACCGCGUAAUAUCUUCGGAUUAAAGGGUGGGACUUUCGGGCCACCUGCCAUAAGAUGAGCCCAAGUGGGAUUAGGUAGUUGGUGGGGUAAAGGCCUACCAAGCCGACGAUCUCUAGCUGGUCUGAGAGGAUGACCAGCCACACUGGAACUGAGACACGGUCCAGACUCCUACGGGAGGCAGCAGUGGGGAAUAUUGCACAAUGGGGGGAACCCUGAUGCAGCCAUGCCGCGUGAAUGAAGAAGGCCUUCGGGUUGUAAAGUUCUUUCGGUGAUGAGGAAGGUGUUUGUUUUAAUAGAACAAGCAAUUGACGUUAGUCACAGAAGAAGCACCGGCUAACUCCGUGCCAGCAGCCGCGGUAAUACGGAGGGUGCGAGCGUUAAUCGGAAUGACUGGGCGUAAAGGGCACGCAGGCGGUGACUUAAGUGAGAUGUGAAAGCCCCGAGCUUAACUUGGGAAUUGCAUUUCAUACUGGGUCGCUAGAGUAUUUUAGGGAGGGGUAGAAUUCCACGUGUAGCGGUGAAAUGCGUAGAGAUGUGGAGGAAUACCGAAGGCGAAGGCAGCCCCUUGGGAAUAUACUGACGCUCAUGUGCGAAAGCGUGGGGAGCAAACAGGAUUAGAUACCCUGGUAGUCCACGCUGUAAACGCUGUUGAUUUGGGGAUUGGGCUUAGAGCUUGGUGCCCGUAGCU